rnacentral:rRNA from 1 species
GAGUUUGAUCGUGGCUCAGGAUGAACGCUAGCGGCAGGCCUAAUACAUGCAAGUCGAACGGUAAAUAUUCAGCAAUGGAUAUGAGAGUGACGUACGGGUGCGUAACACGUAUGCAACCUACCCUUUACAGGCGGAUAGCUCGGGGAAACUCGGAUUAACCCGUCAUAAUAUAAUUGGAUGGCAUCAUUUGAUUGUUAAAUCUACGGAGGUAAAGGAUGGGCAUGCGUCUGAUUAGUUAGUUGGCGGUGUAACGGACCACCAAGACGAUGAUCAGUAGGGGAACUGAGAGGUUGAUCCCCCACACUGGCACUGAGAUACGGGCCAGACUCCUACGGGAGGCAGCAGUAGGGAAUAUUGGUCAAUGGAUGCAAGUCUGAACCAGCCAUGCCGCGUGCAGGAAGAAGGCCUUCUGGGUUGUAAACUGCUUUUGCCAGGGGCUAAAAGGCCCAUGCGUGGGAAUUGAAAGUACCUGGUGAAUAAGCCACGGCUAACUACGUGCCAGCCGCCGCCGUAA